GCAAGUCGAGGGGUAACGAUUGGGAUUUCGGUUCUGAGGCGACGACCGGCGAACGGGUGAGUAACGCGUAUGCAACCUGCCUUUUACAGGAGGAUAGGUUUCGGAAACGGAAAUUAAUGCUCCAUAACGCUGCACUGUGGCAUCGCAGAGCAGUUAAAACUCAGGUGGUAAAAGAUGGGCAUGCGUAACAUUAGCUAGUUGGUAAGGUAACGGCUUACCAAGGCAACGAUGUUUAGGGGACCUGAGAGGGUGAUC
rnacentral:rRNA from 1 species